UACGAAGGGGGCUAGCGUUGCGCGGAAUCACUGGGCGUAAAGGGUGCGUAGGCGGGUCUUUAAGUCAGGGGUGAAAUCCUGGAGCUCAACUCCAGAACUGCCUUUGAUACUGAGGAUCUUGAGUUCGGGAGAGGUGAGUGGAACUGCGAGUGUAGAGGUGAAAUUCGUAGAUAUUCGCAAGAACACCAGUGGCGAAGGCGGCUCACUGGCCCGAUACUGACGCUGAGGCACGAAAGCGUGGGGAGCAAACAGG
rnacentral:rRNA from 1 species